rnacentral:rRNA from 1 species
UACGUAGGGGGCAAGCGUUGUCCGGAAUCAUUGGGCGUAAAGAGCGUGUAGGCGGCUCGUUAAGUCUGCUGUGAAAGUCCAGGGCUCAACCCUGGAAGGCCGGUGGAAACUGUCGGGCUAGAGUCCGGAAGAGGCGAGUGGAAUUCCCGGUGUAGCGGUGAAAUGCGCAGAUAUCGGGAGGAACACCGGUGGCGAAGGCGGGUCUCUGGGCCGAUACUGACGCUGAGGAGCGAAAGCGUGGGGAGCGAACAGG